GAUGAACGCUAGCGGAAGGCUUAAUACAUGCAAGUCGAGCGGUAGGUGGCUUCGGCCAUUGAGAGCGGCGCACGGGUGAGUAACGCGUACAUGACCUGCCUGUCAGAAGGGGAUAGCCCUGGGAAACUGGGAUUAAUACCCUAUGGUAUUGAUAUUAUGAAUGAUAUCAAUUAAAGUUGAGGCGCUGACAGAUGGAUGUGCGUCUGAUUAGCUAGUUGGUAGGGUAACGGCCUACCAAGGCGACGAUCAGUAGGGGGCGUGAGAGCGUGGUCCCCCACACGGGUACUGAGACACGGACCCGACUCCUACGGGAGGCAGCAGUAAGGAAUAUUGGACAAUGCCCGCAAGGGUGAUCCAGCCAUUCCGCGUGCAGGAAGACUGCCCUAAUGGGUUGUAAACUGCUUUUAUUAGGGAAGAAACCCCCUUGACGAGAUUGAGGGUUGACGGUACCUGAUGAAUAAGCACCGGCUAACUCCGUGCCAGCAGCCGCGGUAAU
rnacentral:rRNA from 1 species